rnacentral:rRNA from 1 species
UACAGAGGUCUCAAGCGUUGUUCGGAUUCAUUGGGCGUAAAGGGUGCGUAGGUGGCGGGGUAAGUCAGGUGUGAAAUCCCACGGCUCAACCGUGGAAGUGCACUCGAAACUGGAUGGCUAGAGUCCUGGAGAGGAAGGUGGAAUGCUUGGUGUAGAGGUGAAAUGCGCAGAUAUCAGGAGGAACACCGGUGGCGAAGGCGGUUCUCUGGGCCUUACCUGACGCUGAGGAGCGAAAGCGUGGGGAGCAAACAGG